GGCCUUGCGCUCUUUGAGCGGCCGAUGUCAGAUUAGCUAGUUGGUGAGGUAAAGGCUUACCAAGGCGACGAUCUGUAGCGGGUCUGAGAGGAUGAUCCGCCACAUUGGAACUGAGACACGGUCCAGACUCCUACGGGAGGCUGCAGUGGGGAAUUUUGGACAAUGGGGGCAACCCUGAUCCAGCCAUGCCGCGUGAGUGAAGAAGGCCUUCGGGUUGUAAAGCUCUUUCGGCCGGGGAGAAAUCGCAUGGGCCAAUACCCUGUGUGGAUGACGGUACCGGAAUAAGAAGCACCGGCUAACUACGUGCCAGCAGCCGCGGUAAUACGUAGGGUGCGAGCGUUAAUCGGAAUUACUGGGCGUAAAGCGUGCGCAGGCGGUUUUGUAAGACAGGCGUGAAAUCCCCGGGCUUAACCUGGGAACUGCGUUUGUGACUGCAAGGCUAGAGUACGGCAGAGGGGGGUGGAAUUCCACGUGUAGCAGUGAAAUGCGUAGAGAUGUGGAGGAACACCAAUGGCGAAGGCAGCCCCCUGGGUCGAUACUGACGCUCAUGCACGAAAGCGUGGGUAGCAAACAGGAUUAGAUACCCUGGUAGUCCACGCUCUAAACUAUGUCAACUAGGUGUUGGGUGGGUAAAACCAUUUAGUACCGUAGCUGACGCGUGAAGUUGACCGCCUGGGGAGUACGGCCGCAAGGUUAAAACUCAAAGGAAUUGACGGGGACCCGCACAAGCGGUGGAUGAUGUGGAUUAAUUCGAUGCAACGCGAAAAACCUUACCUACCCUUGACAUACCAGGAACUUGCCAGAGAUGGCUUGGUGCCCGAAAGGGAGCCUGGACACAGGUGCUGCAUGGCUGUCGUCAGCUCGUGUCGUGAGAUGUUGGGUUAAGUCCCGCAACGAGCGCAACCCUUGUCGUUAAUUGCCAUCAUUUAGUUGGGCACUUUAACGAGACUGCCGGUGACAAACCGGAGGAAGGUGGGGAUGACGUCAAGUCCUCAUGGCCCUUAUGGGUAGGGCUUCACACGUCAUACAAUGGUCGGUACAAAGGGUUGCCAAGCCGCGAGGCGGAGCCAAUCCCAGAAAGCCGAUCGUAGUCCGGAUUGCAGGCUGCAACUCGCCUGCAUGAAGUCGGAAUCGCUAGUAAUCGUGGAUCAGCAUGUCACGGUGAAUACGUUCCCGGGUCUUGUACAGACCGCCCGUCACACCAUGGGAGCGGGUUCCGCCAGAAGUAGGUAGCCUAACCGCAAGGGGGGCGCUUACCACGGCG
rnacentral:rRNA from 1 species